ACAGUAUGAGCAUUUAGCAUACUUUAACAGGAAAUGACAUUGUGUAGGAAUGCAUUAAAGAGAGCUUGAAUAUGAGUCGUAUAUAUACAAGUAUGAUCUAUACAUAGAUGUUACAUGCAAACUGAGUAUUUGAAUAAAUGAAAAUGGCUAUAAAAUUAUGCAGUUUGGUGGGUAAAGUGAUGAUUAUAUCUCGAUGAUUGUGUGAUAAACUAAAUGUGGAUAUGAUAAAUGAUUAUGAGUCGUAUAUAAUAAAGAGAGCUUGAAUAUGAGUUGUAUAUAAUACAAGUAUGAUCUAUACGUAGAUGUUACAUACAAAUUGAGUAUUGAAUAAAUGAAAAUGGCUAUAAAAAUUAAUGCAACUUUGGUGGGUAAAAGUGAUGAUUAUAUCUCGAUGAUUGUGUGAUAAACUCUAAUGUGGAUACGAUAAAUGCUUAUGACACUCACCUAGGUUGAGGGGUGAGGAUGAUCAAGGUUUACGAUGCCCAUAUAGGUUGAGCGAUGGUGGCGAUGCCCAUUUCCUUCUCUGUUUUUUCUCCAUUUUUUUUGAAAUUAAAACCAUCUGAAGCAGAGUGGAAUUGAGAGUAUUUGUGAGGAAAGCAUAAAGAAUAGUACGUGUAGCGCAGACCCGUGUCGAAGGGGAAGCCUGGUGCGAACAACGAAGGCAUUCUCC
rnacentral:lncRNA from 1 species